rnacentral:rRNA from 1 species
UCAGAGGGGAAUAACCCGGCGAAAGUCGGACUAAUACCGCAUAAAACAGGGGCACCGCAUGGUGAUAUUUGUUAAAGAAAUUCGCUGAUAGGUGGGCAUGCGUUCCAUUAGGUAGUUGGUGAGGUAACGGCUCACCAAGCCGACGAUGGAUAGGGGAGCUGAGAGGUUGGUCCCCCACACUGGUACUGAGACACGGACCAGACUCCUACGGGAGGCAGCAGUGAGGAAUAUUGGUCAAUGGGCGGGAGCCUGAACCAGCCAAGUCGCGUGGAAAAGGAAGAAGGAUCUAUGGUUACGUAAACUUCUUUUGCGAGGGGAAUAAAGUGCAGGACGUGUCCUGUUUUGUAUGUACCCUGAGAAUAAGGAUCGGCUAACUCCGUGCCAGCAGCAGC